rnacentral:rRNA from 1 species
UACGAGGGGGGCAAAUGUUGUUCGGAAUCACUGGGCGUAAAGGGAGCGUAGGCGGGCUUCUAAGUUAGGUGUUUAAUCCCAGGGCCCAACCCUGGUCAGGCACCUAAAACUGGGAGUCUUGAAUAGUGGAGAGGACGAUGGAAUUGGGGGUGUAGCGGUGGAAUGCGUAGAGAUCCCCAAGAACACCAGUUGCGAAGGCGGUCGUCUGGACACAUAUUGACGCUGAGGCUCGAAAUCAUGGGGAGCAAACAGG